rnacentral:misc_RNA from 1 species
UCCGAGUUGACCCCGGCAGUCUCUCACGAGUCCCCACCAUUACGUGCUGGCAACCUAGAACGAGGGUUGCGCUCGUUGCGGGACUUAACCCAACAUCUCACGACACGAGCUGACGACAACCAUGCACCACCUGUAUACCGAUCUUGCGGGGCGACGAUCUCUCGCCGUUUCCGGUAUAUGUCAAGCCUUGGUAAGGUUCUUCGCGUUGCAUCGAAUUAAUCCGCAUGCUCCGCCGCUUGUGCGGGCCCCCGUCAAUUCCUUUGAGUUUUAGCCUUGCGGCCGUAGUCCCCAGGCGGAGCACUUAUCGCGUUAGCUGCGCUACCGAGGGGGUCGAUACCCCCGACAGCUAGUGCUCAUCGUUUACGGCGUGGACUAC